UACAGAGGGUGCAAGCGUUAUUCGGAAUCACUGGGCUUAAAGCGCGUGUAGGCGGGACGGCACGUCGGUCGUUGAAAUCCCCCGGCUCAACCGGGGAAGGGGCGCCGAUACGACCGUCCUGGAGGGGCGUAGGGGGACCUGGAACUUCCGGUGGAGCGGUGAAAUGCGUUGAGAUCGGAAGGAACGCCCGUGGCGAAAGCGAGGUCCUGGACGCCUACUGACGCUGAGACGCGAAAGCCAGGGGAGCGAACGGG
rnacentral:rRNA from 1 species